rnacentral:rRNA from 1 species
GACGAACCGUGCAAACGUUGUUCGGAAUCACUGGGCUUAAAGGGCGCGUAGGCGGGCGAUCAAGUCCGGGGUGAAAUCUUUCGGCUUAACCGGAAAAGUGCCUUGGAUACUGAUUGUCUGGAGGGAGGUAGGGGCAGCUGGAACUUCCGGUGGAGCGGUGAAAUGCGUUGAUAUCGGAAGGAACGCCGGUGGCGAAAGCGAGCUGCUGGACCUCUUCUGACGCUGAGGCGCGAAAGCCAGGGGAGCAAACGGG